GACGAACGCUGGCGGCGUGCCUAAUACAUGCAAGUCGAGCGCAGGAAAUCGACGGAACCCUUCGGGGGGAAGUCGACGGAAUGAGCGGCGGACGGGUGAGUAACACGUAAAGAACCUGCCCUCAGGUCUGGGAUAACCACGAGAAAUCGGGGCUAAUACCGGAUGGGUCAUCGGACCGCAUGGUCCGAGGAUGAAAGGCGCUUCGGCGUCGCCUGGGGAUGGCUUUGCGGUGCAUUAGCUAGUUGGUGGGGUAAUGGCCCACCAAGGCGACGAUGCAUGGCCGACCUGAGAGGGUGCUCGGCCACACUGGGACUGAGACACGGCCCAGACUCCUACGGGAGGCAGCAGUAGGGAAUCUUCCACAAUGGACGAAAGUCUGAUGGAGCAACGCCGCGUGAACGAUGAAGGCCUUCGGGUCGUAAAGUUCUGUUGUAAGGGAAGAACAAGUGCCGCAGGCAAUGGCGGCACCUUGACGGUACCUUGCGAGAAAGCCACGGCUAACUACGUGCCAGCCGCCGCAGUAA
rnacentral:rRNA from 1 species